rnacentral:tRNA from 1 species
UGUCCGUUCACGGAGGUCACGCCGUUGCCGCUGUUCACGCCGGCGGCGACGAUUGCCCGGGCGCGGGCGAUCUCGUCGUCGGUGGGCAU